rnacentral:rRNA from 1 species
AGAGUUUGAUCAUGGCUCAGAUUGAACGCUGGCGGCAUGCCUUACACAUGCAAGUCGAACGGUAACAGGUUAAGCUGACGAGUGGCGAACGGGUGAGUAAUGUAUCGGAACGUGCCCAGUCGUGGGGGAUAACUACUCGAAAGAGUGGCUAAUACCGCAUACGACCUGAGGGUGAAAGCGGGGGACCGUAAGGCCUCGCGCGAUUGGAGCGGCCGAUAUCAGAUUAGCUAGUUGGUGGGGUAAAAGCCCACCAAGGCGACGAUCUGUAGCCGGUCUGAGAGGACGACCAGCCACACUGGGACUGAGACACGGCCCAGACUCCUACGGGAGGCAGCAGUGGGGAAUUUUGGACAAUGGACGCAUGUCUGAUCCAGCCAUGCCGCGUGCGGGAAGAAGGCCUUCGGGUUGUAAACCGCUUUUGUCAGGGAAGAAACGAGUUUCUCUAAUACAGAGACUUAAUGACGGUACCUGAAGAAUAAGCACCGGCUAACUACGUGCCAGCAGCCGCGGUAAUACGUAGGGUGCAAGCGUUAAUCGGAAUUACUGGGCGUAAAGCGUGCGCAGGCGGUUAUGCAAGACAGAGGUGAAAUCCCCGGGCUCAACCUGGGAACUGCCUUUGUGACUGCAUAGCUAGAGUACGGCAGAGGGGGAUGGAAUUCCGCGUGUAGCAGUGAAAUGCGUAGAUAUGCGGAGGAACACCGAUGGCGAAGGCAAUCCCCUGGGCCUGUACUGACGCUCAUGCACGAAAGCGUGGGGAGCAGACAGGAUUAGAUACCCUGGUAGUCCACGCCCUAAACGAUGUCAACUGGUUGUUGGGAGGGUUUCUUCUCAGUAACGUAGCUAACGCGUGAAGUUGACCGCCUGGGG